GCGAGAGUGGCGAAACUGGCAGACGCGCCGGACUUAGGAUCCGGUGGGCCGACAAAGCCCUUGGGGGUUCGACUCCCCCCUCUCGCA
rnacentral:tRNA from 1 species